AAAAUUACAACCCUUCUUCAAACUAUAUAUAUAAUGAAAAUCCGAAACUAAUAUUACGUGCUGUGGUUUCGGGCCUGGAAAGAUUACGGGUUUCGCCUCAGAACCUUCUGUUAUUCAAAAAAAUAUUAAAAAAAAAAAAAAGGAAAAACUCAUUUUAUUAGGCCUAAC
rnacentral:sRNA from 1 species